UUUUUUCUCCCUUUGCUCUCUUCGGUAAUGGUAGCAAUCAAAUCCAUUUGUGACAUGAUGUAGCUACAAUGCACUUAUAUCAUGUGAACUAUGGGCUAAUUGCAUGACCAUAUGUAUUAGACCACCACAAGCAUAUUGGUUCACAAAAUUGCAUGACCAAGAUGCAUCAAAGCACACAUAAGCAUGCAUCAAAACACACAUAAGCAUGCAUCGAAACACACAUAAGAAUAUGCAUUAUAACACCACAAGCAUAUUUCACAAAAUUUCAUCACAUUCAUACCUCAGAUCGGCCUGGAGGCUUCCAAUUUUUU
rnacentral:lncRNA from 1 species